GCUCUGGCUGCUUUCCCUCUGCGCGAGGCUCCGUGGUGCAUCCGCGUAGGGGUGCAGCUGAGGACACCGGAGAUCAGUUGAGGGUGCCUACUGCGACCUUGUCACUCUGGCCGCGCGCUCAGUCCUCGGCCAGCUCCUGCCCAGGACCUACAUGCUCCCCUCAUCCUCCCUGCGGCCUCCACAGUGACCGUUCAGUUCCUGGCCGCCGCUGAUUUCGACCUCGCGUCCCUCCAAGGCCCAUUCGUGUGGGAGACCAACCCUGGCAGCCAGACUCGAGCCGGCGGGGAACAGCGCGCCCAAGCUGAGGGAGUGUGGUUUCCUGAUUGUCCUGGCUAAAGCCUGGGAACCUCGCGAUGGGAUCUAGACUGACCAUGACCAUGAGCCACGCUGGAAGAUCCAGGUGAGUCACCGCGCAGUUGAUUGUUCCCAGGCACACCACACACACAGUUUUCAGA
rnacentral:lncRNA from 1 species